rnacentral:tRNA from 1 species
GCCUCGGUAGCUCAGAUGGUAGAGCAAGGGACUGAAAAUCCCUGUGUCGGUGGUUCGAUUCCACUCUGAGGCACCA